GAUGAACGCUGGCGGCGUGCCUAAUACAUGCAAGUCGAGCGAACGGACGAGAAGCUUGCUUCUCUGAUGUUAGCGGCGGACGGGUGAGUAACACGUGUAUAACCUACCUAUAAGACUGGGAUAACUUCGGGAAACCGGAGCUAAUACCGUAUAAUAUUUUGAACCGCAUGGUUCAAAAGUGAAAGACGGUCUUGCUGUCACUUAUAGAUGGAUCCGCGCUGCAUUAGCUAGUUGGUAAGGUAACGGCUUACCAAGGCAACGAUGCAUAGCCGACCUGAGAGGGUGAUCGGCCACACUGGAACGGAGACACGGUACAGAGUCCUACGGGAGGGAGCAGUAGGGAAACGUCCGCAAUGGGCGGAAGCCUGACGGAGCAACGCCGCGUGAGUGAGGAAGGUCUUCGGAUCGUAAAACUCGGCCAUUAGGGAAGAACAUAUGUGUAAGUAACUGUGCACAUCUUGACGGUACCUAAUCAGAAAGGCACGGCUAACUACGUG
rnacentral:rRNA from 1 species